GAUGAAGAACGCAGCGAAAUGCGAUACUUGGUGUGAAUUGCAGAAUCCCGUGAACCAUCGAGUCUUUGAACGCAAGUUGCGCCUCAAGCCAUUAGGUUGAGGGCACGUCUGCCUGGGCGUCACAUAUCGUUGCCUGAUGCCAGUUUCGUCGUGAUGGGUGACUGUGCAGGGCGAAUGAUGGCUUCCCGUGAGCAUUGUUGCCUCAUGGUUGGUUGAAAAUUGAGUCCUUGGUAGGGAGCGCCGUGAUAGAUGGUGGUUGAGUGACGAACGAGACCCAAUCAUGUGAGACCCCUACCGAAUUUGGCCUUCAUGACCCACAUGCGUCUUUGGAACGCUCAUGACGAGACCUCAGGUCAGGCGGGGCUACCCGCUGAGUUUAAGCAUAUCAAUAAGCGGAGGA
rnacentral:misc_RNA from 1 species